UACGGGGGGGGCAAGCGUUGUUCGGAAUUACUGGGCGUAAAGGGCGCGUAGGCGGUCUGUUAAGUCGGAUGUGAAAACUCUGGGCUCAACCCAGAGCCUGCAUCCGAAACUGGCAGGCUAGAGUUCUGGAGGGGGUAGCGGAAUUCCUGGUGUAGCGGUGAAAUGCGUAGAUAUCAGGAGGAACACCGGUGGCGAAGGCGGCUACCUGGACAGAAACUGACGCUGAGGCGCGCAAGCUAGGGGAGCAAACAGG
rnacentral:rRNA from 1 species